rnacentral:rRNA from 1 species
CGCAUCUGUGCAUGCAGCAUAUCAAUAAGCGGAGGAAAAGAAACUAACAAGGAUUCCCUUAGUAACGGCGAGUGAAGCGGGAAGAGCUCAAAUUUGAAAUCUUCAAGGUUUUACCUUGACGAAUUGUAGUUUAAAGAAGUGUUUUCUGUUGAAGUUUUGGUAAAAGUUCUUUGGAAUAGGACAUCAUAGAGGGUGAGAAUCCCGUAUUUGACCAUUAUUUUCAGCUGUGUGAUACACUUUCAAAGAGUCGGAUUGUUUGGGAAUGCAGUCCAAAAUGGGUGGUAAAUUUCAUCUAAAGCUAAAUAUUGGCGAGAGACCGAUAGCGAACAAGUACCGUGAGGGAAGAUGAAAAGAACUUUGAAAAGAGAGUUAAACAGUACGUGAAAUUGUCAAAAGGGAAGCGUUUGACACCAGUGUUGUUUUCUCGAAAAUCAAUUAAAAAGAGUUAGAUUUUGUUGUGUAUUGACCUUAACAGCUUGCAUUUCAAUUUUCUUGCUUUUUUUAAUGCACUUUUCGUUUAACAAGUCAACAUCAGUUUCUUUUGUUGUAAAAAGGUCAUUGGAAGGUGGCUUUCUUUUCGGAGAAAGUGUUUAUAGCCUUUGACUCCUGCAAUCGGAGAGACUGAGGUCUGCAGCGUAGAUCCUUCGGGGUUAGAUACAUUUGUGCUAAGUUAUAGCUUUUUAUAGACAACUUGUUGACUAUGAUUAGUCUUGUAGCUUACUCGCUUAUGCUAUUUUACCUACGCUUAGGAUGUUGAUGUGAUACUGCGAGCA